GCUUCUUCUAUCUUUUUUUGCUUUAUGUACUCCAAGGCUUCAAGCACAGCUAGGGUUUCAAUGUGAAGGCUCAACACCGCCCGAACCUGCUUUGCGAAGCCAUCCAUGAGGCUACUGGAGAAAUAUCGAACUACACCAGCCACAGCUCCUUCCAUUGACCCCUCACGGAUGGAUCCGUCCACGUUUAUCUUCAAAGAACCAGCUACCGGAGCUGUCUAGAUCUACCACUUUACAGGCAUCCGGCUUGGUUCCCCGAAAUAUGUAGUUGUUGCGCUCCUUCCACACCUACCAUAGGAUAUUUGAAAUCAUUUCCAGAGAAGGUUGAUUUCCGGGUGGCUCCAUACCCAUGCGGUCCAGGGACAAAGAAGAUGGAGGUGCUUGACUGUUUCCAUACUCUCUCGGUAAAGAUCACAGAUUGGAUCAGGUAAAAUCUUUCGUUUCCAUAGAUUCUCCUUGGAUGGGACGGCAUUUUGACAAACAUUCAAAAUGAAAAAUCCUGACUUUAGGACUAGUUUGCAUCUUCCAUAUAGCAUUCCGUAGCUUUCUUGGUGUUUGAUGGGAUGAAGAUGGGUUUUCCUUUGCAUAGGAUGCUGUUUCUCGUUCUCUUAAUGUAUUAUAACCACUUUUGACUGUAAAUGCCCUGUCCUUAGAUC